rnacentral:rRNA from 1 species
GGCUCAGGAUGAACGCUAGCGGCAGGCUUAAUACAUGCAAGUCGUGGGCAGCAUGAGUAGCAAUACUUGAUGGCGACCGGCAAACGGGUGAGGAACCACGUACACAACCUUCCUUCAAGCGGGGAAUAGCCCAGAGAAAUUUGGAUUAAUACCCCAUAAUAUAUUUGAUAAGGCAUCUUAUUAAUAUUAAAGCUUCGGCACUUGAUGAUGGGUGUGCGGCUGAUUAGAUAGUUGGCGGGGUAACGGCCCACCAAGUCUACGAUCAGUAGCUGAUGUUAGAGCAUGAUCAGCCACACGGGCACUGAGACACGGGCCCGACUCCUACGGGAGGCAGCAGUAAGGAAUAUUGGACCAAUGGACGAAAGUCUGAUCCAGCCAUGCCGCGUGAAGGAUUAAGGUCCUCUGGAUUGUAAACUUCUUUAUAUGGGACGAAAAAAGGGCAUUCUUGUUCACUUGACGGUACCAUAUGAAUAAGCACCGGCUAACUCCGUG